GUAUUAAUGGUUUAGUGGUAAACCCGUCGCUCGCAUCGAUGGGCCACAAGCCGUGUUCGAUUCACGGCUGGUGCG